UCCGGUAUGGUGUAACGGCUAACAUUGCCGCCUUUCAUGCAUAGGUUCCGCGGCAGCUCGGGGUUCGAUUCCCCGUACCGGAA